GACGAAGGGGGGCUAGCGUUGUUUGGAAUUACUGGGCGUAAAGCGCGCGUAGGCGGUCUUUCAAGUCAGGAGUGAAAGCCCCGGGCUCAACCCGGGAAUAGCUCUUGAUACUGUUGGACUUGAGUCCGGGAGAGGAUAGUGGAAUUCCCAGUGUAGAGGUGAAAUUCGUAGAUAUUGGGAAGAACACCAGUGGCGAAGGCGGCUAUCUGGACCGGUACUGACGCUGAGGUGCGAAAGCGUGGGGAGCAAACAGGG
rnacentral:rRNA from 1 species